UUAGAGUUUGAUCAUGGCUCAGGAUGAACGCUGGCGGCGUGCUUAACACAUGCAAGUCGAACGAACCUUCGGGUUAGUGGCGGACGGGUGAGUAACGCGUGAGAAUCUGCCCUCAGGAGGGGGAUAACGGUUGGAAACGACCGCUAAUACCCCAUAUGCCGAGAGGUGAAAUGAAUUUCGCCUGAGGAUGAGCUCGCGUCUGAUUAGUUAGUUGGUGGGGUAAUGGCCUACCAAGACAUCGAUCAGUAGCCGGUCUGAGAGGAUGAUCAGCCACACUGGGACUGAGACACGGCCCAGACUCCUACGGGAGGCAGCAGUGGGGAAUUUUCCGCAAUGGGCGAAAGCCUGACGGAGCAACGCCGCGUGAGGGAUGAAGGCCUCUGGGCUGUAAACCUCUUUUAUCAAGGAAGAAGAUCUGACGGUACUUGAUGAAUAAGCCACGGCUAAUUCCGUGCCAGCAGCCGCGGUAAUACGGGAGUGGCAAGCGUUAUCCGGAAUUAUUGGGCGUAAAGCGUCCGCAGGCGGUCUGUCAAGUCUGCUGUUAAAGCGUGGAGCUUAACUCCAUUUCGGCAGUGGAAACUGACAGACUAGAGUGUGGUAGGGGCAGAGGGAAUUCCCGGUGUAGCGGUGAAAUGCGUAGAUAUCGGGAAGAACACCAGUGGCGAAGGCGCUCUGCUAGGCCAUAACUGACGCUCAUGGACGAAAGCCAGGGGAGCGAAAGGGAUUAGAUACCCCUGUAGUCCUGGCCGUAAACGAUGAACACUAGGUGUCGGGGGAAUCGACCCCCUCGGUGUCGUAGCCAACGCGUUAAGUGUUCCGCCUGGGGAGUACGCACGCAAGUGUGAAGCUCAAAGGAAUUGACGGGGGCCCGCACAAGCGGUGGAGUAUGUGGUUUAAUUCGAUGCAACGCGAAGAACCUUACCAGGGUUUGACAUCCUGCGAAUCUCUUGGAAACGAGAGAGUGCCUUCGGGAACGCAGUGACAGGUGGUGCAUGGCUGUCGUCAGCUCGUGUCGUGAGAUGUUGGGUUAAGUCCCGCAACGAGCGCAACCCACGUCGUUAGUUGCCAGCAUUUAGUUGGGCACUCUAGCGAGACCGCCGGUGAUAAACCGGAGGAAGGUGUGGAUGACGUCAAGUCAUCAUGCCCCUUACAUCCUGGGCUACACACGUACUACAAUGCUACGGACAAAGGGCAGCAAACUCGCGAGAGCUAGCAAAUCCCAUAAACCGUGGCUCAGUUCAGAUCGUAGGCUGCAACUCGCCUACGUGAAGGAGGAAUCGCUAGUAAUCGCAGGUCAGCAUACUGCGGUGAAUACGUUCCCGGGCCUUGUA
rnacentral:rRNA from 1 species